CCUACGGGAGGCAGCAGUGAGGAAUAUUGGUCAAUGGGCGCGAGACUGAACCAGCCAAGUAGCGUGAAGGAUGACUGCCCUACGGGUUGUAAACUUCUUUUAUAAAGGAAUAAAGUGCGGCACGUGUGCCUUUUUGUAUGUACUUUAUGAAUAAGGAUCGGCUAACUCCGUGCCAGCAGCCGCGGUAAUACGGAGGGUCCGAGCGUUAUCCGGAUUUAUUGGGUUUAAAGGGAGCGUAGAUGGUUUGUUAAGUCAGUUGUGAAAGUUUGCGGCUCAACCGUAAAAUUGCAAUUGAUACUGGCAGUCUUGAGUACAGUUGAGGUAGGCGGAAUGCGUGGUGUAGCGGUGAAAUGCAUAGAUAUCACGAAGAACUCCGAUUGCGAAGGCAGCUUACUAAACUGCCACUGACAUUGAGGCUCGAAAGUGUGGGUAUCAAACAGGAUUAGAUACCCCAGUAGUC
rnacentral:rRNA from 1 species